AUGUCUUCUUUUUAUCCCCAGGCACUCGAAAAAUCAAAAUAUGAAGAACAAUGGCUGGCGACAGUUCGUCGUUUCAUUGUAAUAUCUGAAAAGGAGCUCGGAUUUUUCUAUCGGUAUGUUGCACUUGAUGGAAAAACACAAUCCCAGAAUGCUGAUCUGGUUCAUGGUGGUGGCAAGAAAGCUUCUAAACUAGGAAUAGAGGGAUUGGAUCAUGGAAAGGACCAAGGACCGCAUCUGGCCUGUUACGGCCCCUGA
rnacentral:rRNA from 1 species